AUCGCUUCUCCGCCUUUUGGCUAAGAUCAAGUGUAGUAUCUGUUCUUAUCAGUUUAAUAUCUGAUACGUCCUCUAUCCGAGGACAACAUAUUAAAUGUAUUUUUGGAGUUGGGAGUUGGACUAGGAGCUUGCUCCGUCCACUCCACGCAUCGACCUGGUAUUGCAGUGACUAGAUUUCAUAGCACUAGAA